GGGCCCAUAGCUCAGCUGGUUAGAGCAUCUGACUCAUAAUCAGAGGGUCACUGGUUCAAGCCCAGUUGGGCCCA
rnacentral:tRNA from 1 species